rnacentral:lncRNA from 1 species
AACAACGGGGGGAAAAUCUCAUCAUAGUCCACACCCUCCUUUUGUGUGAAACCCUUGGCAACAAGCCUAGCCUUGUAUCUAACAUUGUUAGUUCCACCUUCCCCUUCCUUUAUCUUAUAAAUCCACUUGCAAUCAAUUAGUUUCUUAUCCUUAGGUCUAUCAAUCAAUUCCCAAGUUUUAUUUUUGUAUGGGGAAGACAUCUCUUCUUCGAUAGCAAUUAACUACCGCUUAGAAUCUUUCGAUUUUAAGGCUUCAUGAUAGGAACUAGGUUCAGCUUCAGAUUCAUCUUAAUAAGUGAACAAAGACACAAAAUCGUCACUAUUAAACCUAGCUAGUCAUCUAAUUUGUCUCCUAUCCCUGUCUCUAGUGAGUUGGUAUUCAUCUAGAGGUGUAUUAUCAUCAUUAUACUGCUCAGGUUCAGCCAAAUUAGGCUCGUUUUCAUUCUGAUCAGCCUCAUUAGUUGCUGUUUCUAGGGAGACAGAACUGGUAUUAUCAAUUUGAAUAGGCUCUACCUCAAUUUGGACAUCAUUUUCAAUCAAAUUUCUCUUUUUCCCUUCCAAACAUGGCAUACAUGACUCAUUAAAGACCAUAUCCCUUCUUGUAAUAACCUUGUAACCUUUUUCCCCCUAAACCCACAGCCUAUCCUUUAACAUUUUUAGCAUAACCCAAAAACACACAUUUAAGGGAUCUAAGUUCAAGUUUCCCUAUGUUUUGAUGAGCAUAUGCAGCACAACCAAAUGUUUUCAAGUAAGAAUAAUUUACAGGCUUUUGUGUCCACACAAUUUCAGGCACAUCAAAAUUUAAAGCACUUGUAGGAUUUCUAUUAAUCAAAUAUGCAACAGUUUUAACAGUUUCACCCCAAAAUAAUUUGGGCAAGCUAGAACUUAAAAGUAUGCAUCUAACUUUAUUCAACAAAGUUCUAUUCAUUCUUUCUGCAAUGCCAUUUUGCUGGGGUGUAUAGGUCACAGUUCUAUGUCUUAAAAUGCCAUGCAACUUGUAAAACUCAUUAAACG